GAUGAACGCUGGCGGCGUGCUUAACACAUGCAAGUCGAGCGAAGCGCUUAAGUUUGAUUCUUCGGAUGAAGACUUUUGUGACUGAGCGGCGGACGGGUGAGUAACGCGUGGGUAACCUGCCUCAUACAGGGGGAUAACAGUUAGAAAUGACUGCUAAUACCGCAUAAGACCACGGUACCGCAUGGUACAGUGGUAAAAACUCCGGUGGUAUGAGAUGGACCCGCGUCUGAUUAGGUAGUUGGUGGGGUAACGGCCUACCAAGCCGACGAUCAGUAGCCGACCUGAGAGGGUGACCGGCCACAUUGGGACUGAGACACGGCCCAGACUCCUACGGGAGGCAGCAGUGGGGAAUAUUGCACAAUGGAGGAAACUCUGAUGCAGCGACGCCGCGUGAAGGAUGAAGUAUUUCGGUAUGUAAACUUCUAUCAGCAGGGAAGAAAAUGACGGUAC
rnacentral:rRNA from 1 species